GGCUGCUGGGAUUGAUGGCUCUGACAGUGUUGCACUACUGUCUACACAAAUUAAGCAGUGCAAUAAUAUUGUCAAAGCAUUUGGUUCCAGUC
rnacentral:pre_miRNA from 11 species